rnacentral:lncRNA from 1 species
AUUUUAUUUACUAAUACUUUCCACUAUCAUAGUUAUUUUGAUAAAUAUUAAUAUUUGCAACAUAUCUUUAUAGACGUAUGCAAAGUUUUGAGAGACCGCGGUUUAUAAAACAUUUACAACCAAAGUAAAUGCUGACAAAUAUUUGCUUAUUUUUGCAAACAUUUGUCGGAUGUAUUUAUGUACGUAAAGAAAUGCAUUUUAUUUACUUCAUAGUUAGUAUAUGAAACAUUGAUACUGUGAAGUUGUCUUCACACAGGUAUAGCUUUGCGAGACUGCAGUUUAUAUAUCGCAUGCACAACAAACGUAAAUGAGGGUCGUGAUUAGAGCUAAAAGAAGAAAAAAAGAAAAUAAUUUACUCCCAAAAAAAUAGAUAAAAAGGGUCUAAUAUAUACAGAAUAGAAAAUAAUCAUGACAAUGGGCAUAAAAUAUAAAAGAAAUAGAGGAAUAUGAUCUAAAUUAUCAUAGAAUACAGAUAUGAAAGACCCCAUUCAGACCCUAGUAAAUGCUGUAAGAU